rnacentral:rRNA from 1 species
GACGAACGCUGGCGGUGUGCUUAAUACAUGCAAGUCGAACGGCCCUUCGGGGCAGUGGCGGACGGCUGAGUAACGCGUAGGUAACGUGCCCUUUACUGGGGGAUAACAGAGGGAAACCUCUGCUAAUACCGCAUAAGUCAUAGGUUGAAAUACUUAUGAUUAAAGAUUCAUCGGUAAAGGAUCGGCCUGCGUCUGAUUAGCUAGUUGGUAGGGUAAAAGCCUACCAAGGCAAUGAUCAGUAGUUGGUCUGAGAGGAUGACCAGCCAGAGUGGGACUGAGACACGGCCCACACUUCUACGGAAGGCAGCAGUAGGGAAUUUUGCGCAAUGGGCGAAAGCCUGACGCAGCAACACCGCGUGUAGGAUGA